rnacentral:rRNA from 1 species
ACGAAGGGUGCAAGCGUUACUCGGAAUUACUGGGCGUAAAGCGUGCGUAGGUGGUUUGUUAAGUCUGAUGUGAAAGCCCUGGGCUCAACCUGGGAACGGCAUUGGAUACUGGCUUACUAGAGUGCGGUAGAGGGUAGUGGAAUUCCCGGUGUAGCAGUGAAAUGCGUAGAUAUCGGGAGGAACACCAGUGGCGAAGGCGAGUCUCUGGGAUGAUGCUGACGCUGAGGCGCGAAAGCCAGGGGAGCAAACGGGA